CCUAGACUGCGAGCAAUCCCUCUAUUUUCCUUCGUUUUAUUGUUUCCCGGACUAAGAUUGAACGCGCGGGAAAAUGGCAAAAAGGGGCGGAGACGAGAGGAAAAAUAGAGGGAUUGCCGCUUUAACUAAUUGUCAAGCGUGUUUGAUUUUCCCGUUGCACAGACAACGGGAAAUUCUGAUUGGUUAAAAAACAAUAAAUAUUCUGAUAACAUUAAAACCCAUCACUCAGCUGGCUUUAUACUGUAAACAGACAUUUGGCGAAAUUAAUAUCUAUCUGGCAGCGGGAAGCAACGAAAAUUGAUACGUAUGUAGUUGAAAGUCUUACAACAAGCUUACAGAAACAAACGCUUGCAAUAGAGUGCUUACUUGAAGGUAGAGAUGUUCUAGCUGUCCUUCCUACGGGAUUUGGAAAGAGUUUCCUGUUGGCUGAAGAUAUUGGAAGGGUUUGUUCAAGCCCAACUAGUAUUAUAGUAUUUAAGCUCUUCGUAGCAUUACUAUUAUUGAUGAACAGUUACGGUCCAACGACUUUGCAAAUAUUAACUCGGCCGUUCUUAUAGUGGGAUCAAGUAAACCAAUUUUCAGAUAUUUGUGUAUGCGUCUGCCUUUGUCUCCUGAAUUUGUUGCCUUGUUGAAGAAUAAAAGCUCGCCAUUCAGAAACGAACUGCCCUCAUAGUCGUUGAUGAAUUGGCAGUUAGGCUAAUUAAUACAUGGUGACUUGGUGAGUUUAUGGAGUUUGGGUUUAUUAUAAUAUUGUAUGUCUUUGUAUUAAAAUAUGUAUGUAUGUAUUGUAUAUU